rnacentral:rRNA from 1 species
UUAGAGUUUGAUCCUGGCUCAGGACGAACGCUGGCGGCGUGCUUAACACAUGCAAGUCGAACGAUGAAGACUGGUGCUUGCACUGGUUGGAUUAGUGGCGAACGGGUGAGUAAUACGUGAGUAACCUGCCUUUGACUCUGGGAUAAGCCUGGGAAACUGGGUCUAAUACCGGAUAUGACAAGGAACCGCAUGGUUUUUUGUGGAAAGGGUUUGUACUGGUUCUAGAUGGGCUCACGGCCUAUCAGCUUGUUGGUGGGGUAAUGGCUCACCAAGGCGACGACGGGUAGCCGGCCUGAGAGGGUGACCGGCCACACUGGGACUGAGACACGGCCCAGACUCCUACGGGAGGCAGCAGUGGGGAAUAUUGCACAAUGGGCGCAAGCCUGAUGCAGCGACGCCGCGUGAGGGAUGACGGCCUUCGGGUUGUAAACCUCUUUCAGCAGGGAAGAAGCGAAAGUGACGGUACCUGCAGAAGAAGCGCCGGCUAACUACGUGCCAGCAGCCGCGGUAAUACGUAGGGCGCGAGCGUUGUCCGGAAUUAUUGGGCGUAAAGAGCUUGUAGGCGGUUUGUUGCGUCUGCUGUGAAAGACCGGGGCUUAACCCCGGUAUUGCAGUGGGUACGGGCAGACUAGAGUGCAGUAGGGGAGACUGGAAUUCCUGGUGUAGCGGUGAAAUGCGCAGAUAUCAGGAGGAACACCGAUGGCGAAGGCAGGUCUCUGGGCUGUAACUGACGCUGAGAAGCGAAAGCAUGGGGAGCGAACAGGAUUAGAUACCCUGGUAGUCCAUGCCGUAAACGUUGGGCACUAGGUGUGGGGGAC